rnacentral:tRNA from 5 species
GGACGCGUAGCUCAGCUGGUUAGAGCGCUUGCUUCACACGCAAGAGGUCCACGGUUCGAGUCCGUGCGUGUCCACCA